UACAGAGGUGGCAAGCGUUGUUCGGAAUUACUGGGCGUAAAGGGCGCGUAGGCGGGCUGCCAAGUCCGUGGUGAAAUCCCCCGGCUCAACCGGGGAAGGGCCUCGGAUACUGGCGGCCUCGAGGGGGGUAGGGGCGUGCGGAACUGUGGGUGGAGCGGUGAAAUGCGUUGAUAUCCACAGGAACUCCGGUGGCGAAGGCGGCACGCUGGACCCCAUCUGACGCUGAGGCGCGAAAGCCAGGGGAGCGAACGGG
rnacentral:rRNA from 1 species